rnacentral:lncRNA from 1 species
ACAUUCAAACAGUACUAAGCUAAUUACUUUUACUUUCACCAUUGAAAUACAGCUUAAGCUCAGUUGAACAAAACCAAAUUCAAAUAAAAGAUAGAUAAAAUGGAUAAAAAGAAAAAAAAAAGGAGUUGGAAUUUAUACAUACCUUUGGCAAAAUAUGAGCAAAGCUUAGGCUUUUGGAGCAGUUUCCAAAGGAAAAAAAGACCGUAGCUUUCGUCGUCGUUGUUUGUUUUUCAGAGGAAAUUCUAACGAACGACGCCGCCGUAGCAAAAGCGAAGGAAUAAAGAGAUACAACCGAGAAAAUAGCGACGAGAGUGAUGGUUUUAAUUGGAGUAUGAAUUUUAACAGAUUUUUAAGGGCAUUUUAACAAUGGCCCGAACAAAAUAAAUAUUCAAAAAAAAUUAAGAAAAUUAUAGAAUCUCAUAAUUAUCACCGCUACUUUGCUCAAUCAGAUAAUUCUGAUGCCCGUCUUGUCUAUCAAUCUGCCAUUUCUUCUUUAUGACGGUUCUAUAUUUUCAAGGAAAGCAUUUAUCACCUAAACCAUUAAUCUACUCGUUUCAAACUUUCCUUUCUUCCUCUUCUGCUCCAUCCAUUUUCAGUCUGGUUCUCGCACUCUAUCAUAUUCUUUCUGGUUUUCAGCAUAUCCAGUUACGCUUCCUAACAAGUAUAUCUCCUCCUCCUUCAACGAUUCAGUUGCUAAUGUAUGGGCUAAACCGUUUGCUAUUCUUGGAAUAUAUUCAAACAUUAAGUUUUUAGAUCUAGCCGUUGUCUAUUGAAUAUCUUGUAUAUUUUCUCCUACCUGUGAUUUAUCUUGUCUUUUUUCCUUGCACUUUUUGAUUAUUGUUAAUGAAUCACAUUCUAUUAUGAUCUCCGGCCAUUGCAUGUCUGUUCCGAUUUGGGCUGCUUUGAGGCAAGCGGGCGCGUCAGCAGCAAAGGCUGAGGUCACUUCUUGAUGAAUCUUUGAGCUCGAUAGAAGAACAUCCCCUUCACUGUUUCUGACCACAAUCCGAGAAGCCGAUUGACAAAGUUGCCCAUCAUAUGCUCCUUCAAAAUUUACCUUUACUGACUGACCAGGUGGGUGCUUCCAUUUUUUGACUUCUUGUGAAAUUUUGGGGGUCCUUUUUUCAACCCCAUUUAGUUCUGUAAUAUAACUAUUGACAAAGCUCGCUAUUUCUUUCCCAGUUCUACUUGCCUUCUCAUGCAUUCUAGCAAUCCUUUCUCCCCAGAUUUCCCAUAGCGCACGAUAGAAUAAUCUACACUUGGACGGAGUGUUUUGAGCAAAAACCCAAGUGAGCCACUAUAGGAACUCCAAAUUAGAUUCCUGCAAUAAAUUCGGGAUUAAUAAAUCUGCCCAUACUGACACUGAAACAGGACACCCACCAAAAUUUUGGUGAGCCUAAUAAAAUAACUUAUUCCAUGAUUACAUAUUUUUGUACUUUCUUUUUUCAGAUUUUACUAAUGCAUUAACAAUUGAUCAUUUACAGAACAAACUAUCUUACUUCACUCAAUUUUAAAGUUAGCAUAAAACAUUUUAGAAAAAAAACUACAAUUUUAAACAUCAGAUAGUAAUAUUCAAAAAUUAAUUACACAUUCAAACAACACUAAGCUAAGU